rnacentral:hammerhead_ribozyme from 1 species
AUUCUGCUGACGAGUUCUAAUUAGGACGAAACGUGCGUCCUGGAU